CCUACGGGGGGCAGCAGUGGGGAAUAUUGGACAAUGGGGGGAACCCUGAUCCAGCCAUGCCGCGUGUGUGAAGAAGGCCCUCGGGUGGUAAAGCACUUUCAGUGAGGAAGAACGCCUGGUGGUUAAUACCCAUCAGGAAAGACAUCACUCACAGAAGAAGCACCGGCUAACUCCGUGCCAGCAGCCGCGGUAAUACGGAGGGUGCGAGCGUUAAUCGGAAUUACUGGGCGUAAAGCGCGCGUAGGUGGCUUGAUAAGCCGGUUGUGAAAGCCCCGGGCUCAACCUGGGAACGGCAUCCGGAACUGUCAAGCUAGAGUGCAGGAGAGGAAGGUAGAAUUCCCGGUGUAGCGGUGAAAUGCGUAGAGAUCGGGAGGAAUACCAGUGGCGAAGGCGGCCUUCUGGACUGACACUGACACUGAGGUGCGAAAGCGUGGGUAGCAAACAGGAUUAGAUACCCUAGUAGUC
rnacentral:rRNA from 1 species